rnacentral:rRNA from 1 species
GGAACUGCAUUCAAAACUGUCGAGCUAGAGUAUGGUAGAGGGUGGUGGAAUUUCCUGUGUAGCGGUGAAAUGCGUACAUAUAGGAAGGAACACCAGUGGCGAAGGCGACCACCUGGACUGAUACUGACACUGAGGUGCGAAAGCGUGGGGAGCAAACAGGAUUAAAUACCCUGGUAGUCCACCCCCUAAACCAUGUCAACUAGCCAUUGGGAGCCUUUCCCUCUUAUUGGCGCAGCUAACGCAUUAAGUUAACCGC